GGGGAUUUAGCUCAGUGGUAGAGCACUUGCUUAGGAAGCGCAAGGCCCUGGGUUCAGUCCCCA
rnacentral:tRNA from 1 species